UAUUAAAAAAUUCAUCCAUUUGUACUAUUAAAAAUUGAUGUGGCUGAUGGAAUAACCAGACAGUGAUACAUGACAUGUCACGUGUACCUUAUGCUGACGUACAUGGAUCGAUUUUUAACAGCAAAAAAAGAUAAAAUUUCUAAUG
rfam:Gossypium arboreum cultivar AKA8401 contig_36412_1, whole genome shotgun sequence.